GAUGAACGCUGGCGGCGUGCCUAAUACAUGCCAGUCGAGCGAACAGACGAGGAGCUUGCUCCUCUGACGUUAGCGGCGGACGGGUGAGUAACACGUGGAUAACCUACCUAUAAGACUGGGAUAACUUCGGGAAACCGGAGCUAAUACCGGAUAAUAUAUUGAACCGCAUGGUUCAAUAGUGAAAGACGGUUUUGCUGUCACUUAUAGAUGGAUCCGCGCCGCAUUAGCUAGUUGGUAAGGUAACGGCUUACCAAGGCAACGAUGCGUAGCCGACCUGAGAGGAGGAGCAGUGACAGUAGAACUGAGACACGGUCAGGACGACGAAGGGAGGAAGCAGUGGGGGAGAGUGGAGAAGGGGCGAAAACCUGAAAAAGUCAUGAAGAGUGAGUGAAGAAGGUAUUCGGAAUGUAAAGCAUCUUAAGUUAGGAGGAAGGGAAGGAAGUUAAUACCUUGGUGCUUUGACGUUAGGAACAGAAUACGCGCCGACUAACUUCGUG
rnacentral:rRNA from 1 species